UACGUAGGGUGCAAGCGUUGUCCGGAAUUACUGGGCGUAAAGGGCGCGUAGGCGGUCAGCACAAGUCAGUUGUGAAAUCUCCGGGCUUAACUCGGAAAGGUCAACUGAUACUGUGCGACUAGAGUGCGGAAGGGGCAACUGGAAUUCUCGGUGUAGCGGUGAAAUGCGUAGAUAUCGAGAGGAACACCUGCGGCGAAGGCGGGUUGCUGGGCCGACACUGACGCUGAUGCGCGAAAGCCAGGGGAGCGAACGGG
rnacentral:rRNA from 1 species